rnacentral:rRNA from 1 species
GAACGCGAAGAACCUUACCUGGCCUUGACAUGCUACUAACGAAGCAGAGAUGCAUUAGGUGCCCGAAAGGGAAAGUAGACACAGGUGCUGCAUGGCUGUCGUCAGCUCGUGUCGUGAGAUGUUGGGUUAAGUCCCGCAACGAGCGCAACCCUUGCCAUUAAUUGCCAUCAUUUAGUUGGGCACUUUAAUGGGACUGCCGGUGACAAACCGGAGGAAGGUGGGGAUGACGUCAAGUCCUCAUGGCCCUUAUGGCCAGGGCUUCACACGUAAUACAAUGGUCGGUACAGAGGGUUGCCAACCCGCGAGGGGGAGCCAAUCCCAGAAAGCCGAUCGUAGUCCGGAUUGCAGUCUGCAACUCGACUGCAUGAAGUCGGAAUCGCUAGUAAUCGCGGAUCAGCAUGUCGCGGUGAAUACGUUCCCGGGUCUUGUACACACC